UACGAAGGGAGCUAGCGUUGUUCGGAAUUACUGGGCGUAAAGGGCGCGUAGGCGGUUUGGCAAGUUGGAUGUGAAAGCCCAGGGCUCAACCCUGGAAUUGCAUUCAAGACUGCCUUACUUGAAUUCGGUAGAGGUUGGUGGAAUUUCCAGUGUAGAGGUGAAAUUCGUAGAGAUUGGAAAGAACACCCGUGGCGAAGGCGGCCAACUGGACCGACAUUGACGCUGAGGCGCGAAAGCGUGGGGAUCAAACAGG
rnacentral:rRNA from 1 species